CAGUGUCCUUGCCUGGAGAAGCUCUUAUCACUGAGGCCCUUAAACGGUAACGAGCAUGACCAACUUUAUUUUGCUGGAGACCACUAGGACUCACGAACACUUUGAUCUUAGCCAAAAGGCCGCUGGUCUGACCUUUUUGGGACGGAGGAGCCAAAUAAAUUUCUAACAGGUGCGUGUCUGCUAACUUCCCUCCCUUCAUUCGGCACGGACCUCUUGUCCAAACUACCACUGGAGCGUGCAGUCAAAUAAAUUUCAAGCAGAUGUACGCCUCCACUUCCUGUGUGCAAGGUAUUUCAACCUUCUUAUUCAAUUAAUAAUCAUGAGAGUACAAAACAAAUCACCAACAAUUCACAAACAAAUCGUAACCAUUUUAUGGAAGAAUGGUCAGGGUCCUUCAGACACUGAUAUUAUCAAGCUGCCGUCUUCGUUUGCACUAUUUGUAUGGUCUGGAUCUGAUGCUCCAAAAUUUUACAUGAGGUAGUAGAAAAUUUAAGACGUGCUGCGAUGGAUCUCCUGCGACCCAACGGUUGUGACUUAUUUGGACACGCUGGGUUUCCGGCAGCUUCUGGUAACCCAUUGAUGUUCUGAAAUUUGUUUUAGAUGAUGUUGUAGUCCGGCGUUGUCUUGCCUUAGCUCGCUGAGCUAUGCUGAGGUGUAAGCUUUUUUGGGGGGAAUCGUGCCGCGGAACGUUAACUGACCAUCGGGUAGGGUCACUUUGAUCUUAGCCAAAAGGCCGCUGGUCUGGCCUUUUUUGGGAAGGAGGAGACAAACAAUUUUCUAGCAGAUUUGAGCAUAUCAAAUUUACGAGCGAUUUUUUCUCAAAUUAGAGUUCUCAAUGGUCCGGAUUGGUCCGGAUCAGCCCUGAUCCGAAACCGGACCGUGGCCCUAAACCACCAAUCCGAGACCGGACCGAAAAAUUUCCGCUCGGCCCAGAACCGGACCGAGACCGGACCAGGACCGGACCGGUCAAUCCGGGCGGACCGAAAAAUGUAUCAAUCUACUCUAAUAAAGUGUUAGUAUGAUCCCUGGGUCCCUGGGUCCGUCUUCGCAAUGCAAUUUGCCCCAUACAGUAGACAAAGAAGG